ensembl:ncRNA C12D8.22 ncRNA
CUUGGCGGCACCGUCUGGGGUGUUGGCCCACUCAACGGUGAUACGAUCAUUGUUGGUGUCCUGAAAAAGAACAAGUUAUUGAUAAAUUCUAUUAUCAUAUAAACAAAACCUCCUGCCCGAAGCAAAAGCGUCACAAGAAACAUUCAGA